CAGGCAGAGAUUGAAGAGCGGGAGGAGAGGAGGAGGUUGCAGGAACUCCGAGAGCAAGAGAAGCAUCAGGAGGAGGAGAAGGAGCGACUGCUGGAACAGCAACAGGAAGAGGAGGAGCUCCGAGGCAAGGAGGAGGAAGAGAGGAGACAAGAGCAG